GGCCUGAUGGUCUAGUAGUAUGAUUCCUUGUUAGGGCAAUAGCGCGUUCGAGGAGGUCCUGGGUUCAAUUCCCAGUUAGGCCC